AUGCAAGUCGAGCGAACAGAUAAGGAGCUUGCUCCUUUGACGUUAGCGGCGGACGGGUGAGUAACACGUGGAUAACCUACCUAUAAGACUGGGAUAACUUCGGGAAACCGGAGCUAAUACCGGAUAAGAUUUUGAACCGCAUGGUUCAAUAGUGAAAGACGGCCUUGCUGUCACUUAUAGAUGGAUCCGCGCCGUAUUAGCUAGUUGGUAAGGUAACGGCUUACCAAGGCAACGAUACGUAGCCGACCUGAGAGGGUGAUCGGCCACACUGGAACUGAGACACGGUCCAGACUCCUACGGGAGGCAGCAGUAGGGAAUCUUCCGCAAUGGGCGAAAGCCUGACGGAGCAACGCCGCGUGAGUGAUGAAGGUCUUCGGAUCGUAAAACUCUGUUAUCAGGGAAGAACAAACGUGUAAGUAACUGUGCACGUCUUGACGGUACCUAAUCAGAA
rnacentral:rRNA from 1 species